rfam:Harpegnathos saltator strain R22 G/1 HarSal_1.0_2.contig8340, whole genome shotgun sequence.
AUACUUACCUGGCGUAGAGGUUACCGUGAUCAAUAAGGCGGUUCCUCCAGGGCGAGGCUCUUCCAUUGCACCACGGUUGAGCUGACCCUUGCGAAUAUCCCUAAUGUGGAUAUCUCGGACGUAUAAUUUUUGGUAGUUGGGACUGCGUUCGCGCUGUCCCUG